GACGAACGCUGGCGGCGUGCUUAACACAUGCAAGUCGAACGGAAAGGCCCUGCUUUUGUGGGGUGCUCGAGUGGCGAAAGGGUGAGUAACACGUGAGUAACCUGCCCUUGACUUUGGGAUAACUUCAGGAAACUGGGGCUAAUACCGGAUAGGAGCUCCUGCUGCAUGGUGGGGGUUGGAAAGUUUCGGCGGUUGGGGAUGGACUCGCGGCUUAUCAGCUUGUUGGUGGGGUAGUGGCUUACCAAGGCUUUGACGGGUAGCCGGCCUGAGAGGGUGACCGGCCACAUUGGGACUGAGAUACGGCCCAGACUCCUACGGGAGGCAGCAGUGGGGAAUAUUGCACAAUGGGCGGAAGCAUGAUGCAGCAACGCCGCGUGCGGGAUGGCGGCCUUCGGGUUGUAAACCGCUUUCGCCUGUGACGAAGCGUGAGUGACGGUAAUGGGUAAAGAAGCACCGGCUAACUACGUG
rnacentral:rRNA from 1 species